CAGGCUUAACACAUGCAAGUCGAACGGUAACAGGAAAGCUUGCUUUCGCUGACGACCGGCGCACGGGUGCGUAAGCGUAUGCAACUUGCCCUCAACUGGGAAUAGCCCGGAGAAAUUCGGAUUAAUGUCCCAUAGUAUCACAUCACCGCAUGAUGAUGUGCUUAAAGCUUCGGCGGUUGAGGAUGGGCAUGCGUCCUAUUAGCUUGUUGGUGAGGUAACGGCUCACCAAGGCUGCGAUAGGUAGGGGCCUGAGAGGGUAAUCCCCCACACUGGUACUGAGACACGGACCAGACUCCUACGGGAGGCAGCAGUGAGGAAUAUUGGUCAAUGGACGAAAGUCUGAACCAGCCAUGCCGCGUGCAGGAUGACGGCCCUACGGGUUGUAAACUGCUUUUAUAAGGGAAUAAACCCCCCGACGUGUCGGGGGCUGAAGGUACCUUACGAAUAAGGAUCGGCUAACUCCGUG
rnacentral:rRNA from 1 species